UAAACUGGAGAGAACUCCAAAUGGUC
rnacentral:piRNA from 1 species